rnacentral:snoRNA from 1 species
GCCCUCUCAGGGUCGCAUCUAGAGAGUUUCCAGGACUCUACCAGUCAUGACUAUGGGAGGGAGAGUCAAGCAGAGGCCUACCCAUUCCAUUCCUAGCUUGGUCAGUGGCUAGCUAGUGGAAGGCAAUCUGAUACAGGU